rnacentral:tRNA from 1 species
AAAGGUUUAGGUUAAUUAGACCAAGAGCCUUCAAAGCUCUAAGUAGGUAAUUAGUACCUAACCUUUG